UACGUAAAAGACUAGUGUUAGUCAUCUUUAUUAGGUUUAAAGGGUACCUAGACAGUAAAUUAAACCCUAAUAGGUACUUUUUUUACUAGAGUUUUUAUAAGAGAAGGGGAGAAUUUUAGAGUAGAGAUAAAAUUUUAAUUGAUACUAAAAGGAACUUAUAAAAGGCGAAGGCAGCCUUCUAUGUAAAAACUGACGUUGAAGGGAC
rnacentral:rRNA from 1 species